GAUGUUUACGAAGCCUCUCAGACUCCUCCGAAUGCAAUACUCAACUUAAUUGCGUGGAAACCAUAUUCCCAGUCCGGCAACAUGCCCGACUGAAGCUCGGGGUGUGUGUGGGGGGGCUCCUUUUUCAAAGCGUUAAUUAACACAACAAAAGGUGCAUUGUCCUCCAGACGCCAUCACUCAGCGGCGAGCCUCACACGUGCGAGCUGUCGGGGGAAGUUUGGAUCUGUUGGAUCUGUUGGAUUUUCCCAGCUGCUCCUGAACGCAUCAUCUCACUCUUCCGCGGAAGAAAACGCCGACUCGGCGUGUAACGGAACAGCAAAGAUCUGCAUUAGCCUUGUUCUCCGUCACGCCUUCCCUUCACCGGGUCAAUAGGAGCGGAGUGGAAUUCUGUGGAUGGACUCAGCUGGACAAGACAAUGGGGAAUAUUCAUCAACCUGACAAAAGGAAAUGGUGUUAAAUCUUUGCCCGUGGGAUCUAAGAAAGAAAAGCAUCAUUACAAGUCGUGUCGAGCCUGUGAAGUGGGACUCGUGCUCGAAUAUUCCAUGCUUUUGCAAAUAUGUUGAUAAUCGAUCGGCGCUCAGAGGCUGCAGCUCAGCUAAUGGGAGAAAUCGCCGCUCACAUACAUGUAUUAGCGUUACCUUGAGCCCUAAACAAAUGCAUAAGGAAUGUGUUGUGAUGUUUUAUGGAACAAACUAUCAAUGAAUUAAUGUUAUCAGGUUAAUCAAUAAAAAAAAUCAGUGAUGCCGUCAAAGCCCAGAAAACCAAUGUCUUUAAAUACAAGCCUCGCAGCCCAGAGAACCAUAAUAAACCAUAAGUGAUGAAUAUUAUACAGCCGAUAACAAUAUAAUCCUGAUAACAUAGUGUACUGAAUUAAAUAUUUAAUGCGAGCGUUGUUAGACUGGAGGCAUUUUUAAAGAAAUGUUCUCAUCUAUUAGAACCACAUAACUAGUGUGAUGAGAUUACUGAUGCCCAGUAUGCGAUUGCCAAUUGAGACUUAGUGCAGAAGCAAUUAAAAAAAGCUCUAAAUCAAA